rnacentral:rRNA from 1 species
UACGUAGGGGGCAAGCGUUGUCCGGAAUCAUUGGGCGUGAAGAGCGCGUAGGCGGUCCGGUAAGUCCGCUCUGAAAGUCCGGGGCUCAACCCCGGGAGACGGGCGGAUACUGUCGGGCUAGAGUCCGGAAGAGGCGAGUGGAAUUCCUGGUGUAGCGGUGAAAUGCGCAGAUAUCAGGAAGAACACCUAUGGCGAAGGCAGCUCUCUGGGACGGUACUGACGCUGAGACGCGAAAGCGUGGGGAGCGAACAGG